rnacentral:tRNA from 1 species
GCUCAUAUAGCUCAGUCGGUAGAGCACACCCUUGGUAAGGGUGAGGUCGGCGGUUCAAAUCCGCCUAUGAGCUCCA